rnacentral:rRNA from 1 species
AUUGAACGCUGGCGGCAGGCCUAACACAUGCAAGUCGAGCGGGGUUUUCGGACCUAGCGGCGGACGGGUGAGUAAUGCGUAGGAAGCUGCCCGAUAGAGGAGGAUACCAGUUGGAAACGACUGUUAAUACCGCGUAAUGUCUACGGACCAAAGUGUGGGACCUUCGGGCCACAUGCUAUCGGAUGCGCCUACGUGGGAUUAGCUAGUUGGUGAGGUAAUGGCUCACCAAGGCGACGAUCUCUAGCUGGUUUGAGAGGAUGAUCAGCCACACUGGAACUGAGACACGGUCCAGACUCCUACGGGAGGCAGCAGUGGGGAAUAUUGGACAAUGGGCGCAAGCCUGAUCCAGCCAUGCCGCGUGUGUGAAGAAGGCCUUCGGGUUGUAAAGCACUUUCAGCGAGGAGGAAGGGUGGUGUGUUAAUAGCACAUCAUUUUGACGUUACUCGCAGAAGAAGCACCGGCUAACUCUGUGCCAGCCGCCGCAGUAACAC